rnacentral:rRNA from 1 species
GACGAACGCUGGCGGCGUGCUUAACACAUGCAAGUCGAACGGAAAGGCCCUGCUUUUGUGGGGUUCUCGAGUGGCGAACGGGUGAGUAACACGUGAGUAACCUUCCCUUUACUUUGUGAUAACUUCAGGAAACUGGGGCUAAUACCGGAUAGGAGCUCCUGCUGCAUGGUGGUGGUUGGAAAGUUUCGGCGGUUGGGGAUGGACUCGCGGCUUAUCAGCUUGUUGGUGGGGUAGUGGCUUACCAAGGCUUUGAAGGGUAGCCGGCCUGAGAGGGUGACCGGCCACAUUGGGACUGAGAUACGGCCCAGACUCCUACGGGAGGCAGCAGUGGGGAAUAUUGCACAAUGGGCGGAAGCCUGAUGAAGAAACGCCGCGUGCGGGAUGACGGCCUUCGGGUUGUAAACCGCUUUCGCCUGUGACGAAGCGUGAGUGACGGUAAUGGGUAAAGAAGCACCGGCUAACUACGUG